rnacentral:misc_RNA from 1 species
GAUGAAGAACGCAGCGAAAUGCGAUAAGUAAUGUGAAUUGCAGAAUUCAGUGAAUCAUCGAAUCUUUGAACGCACAUUGCGCCCUCUGGUAUUCCGGGGGGCAUGCCUGUUCGAGCGUCAUUAUAACCACUCAAGCUCUCGCUUGGUAUUGGGGUUCGCGGUUUCGCGGCCCCUAAAAUCAGUGGCGGUGCCUGUCGGCUCUACGCGUAGUAAUACUUCUCGCGAUUGAGUUCGAUAGGUCUACUUGCCAGUAACCCCCAAUUUUUACAGGUUGACCUCGGAUCAGGUAGGGAUACCCGCUGAACUUAAGCAUAUCAAAAGCGGAGGA